UUAGCACUAGACAAAAAUGACAUUGCUGAGAUACGAGUAUUUACCAAACCUCCAGAACUUGUUCAGACAGUUUUAGAAGCCGUUGCUAUUCUCUUAGGCAACAAGACAGACUGGGCGAGUUGUAAAGCCAUGCUGGCAGACACGAACUUCUU
rnacentral:sRNA from 1 species